rnacentral:rRNA from 1 species
UGGUGGGGUAAUAGCCUACCAAGCCAAUGACGGGUAGCCGGUGUGAGAGCACGACCGGCCACAAGGUCACUGAAACACGGGGCCUACACCUACGGGUGGCAGCAACCGGGAAUAUUGCGCAAUGGGCGAAAGCCUGACGCAGCGACACCGCGUGUGGGAAGAAGCUUUUCGGAGUGUAAACCACUGUGGCAAGGGAAGAAUUUUUGACGGUACCUUGCUAGAAAGCACCUGCUAACUACGUGCCAGAAGCCUCGGUAAUACGUAGGGUGCAAGCGUUAUCCGGAUUUAUUGGGCGUAAAGAGUUCCGCAGGCGUCUUUACAAGUUUCUUGUUUAAGCCUGAGGCUCAACUUCAGAAAAGCAAGAAAAACUGUAAAGAUUGAGUUUGUUUGGGGAAGCUGGAAUUCUCGGUGGAGGGGUGAAAUCCGUAGAUAUCGAGAGGAACACCAAUCGCGAAGGCAAGCUUCUAAAACAAUACUGACGCUAAGGGACGAAAGCUUGGGUAGCAAAAGGGAUUAGAGACCCCUGUAGUCCAAGCCGUAAACUUUCCUCGCUAGUUGCCUGGUUAAUAAUGCAU